ACGUUCAACGAGUUUAACGACACCGCGAGAAGCGAGCCGACAAUUAUGUCUCCUUUUUCAGGCAUUAAAACGUUCGUUUGCAAAGCGUCGCCUUUCCGUAUGGCCAAGGGCAGUCACCGUUCGCUUGUGCCGUUUGAAUGAUAAUCAGCUGUCUUUGUCUCGUUCUUGUUCUUCGCACCAUUACAAUAGCGAGUGGUGGGGAUAGGGCAGUUGCGCGACCUACGGGUGCGUUUCCAUUAAUUCUCUACGAACGUUGUCCUCGCGAGUCCUGAAUUUCGCGUUCGCCUUAAGCAAAAUUGACUAGUAAGUUCGUACUCUCCAAUUGCUUCUCGCCUGUGUUAGGAGUUUGAAAAUGGCUCGCGAUCGAUCGAGUCUGGGAAUCGAAUUCGUUUCUUUGCACGCUCUGGCGAAUACGAGAACGUAGUCAAGGUGUUGCUUCAUACAUAUGUGAAAAAAAAAGAACAUAUGUGGGUUCAGAGUGAUUUUAUAAUCUUGAUUGAUUGAUUUGCGAGCUCGAACGAUAUGAUGGAUCGUUCAAUCGUGUUAUGGAGAUAUUGACGAGAAAUGGAGGUUAAAUGGAAUGAUAGUCAUGUUUAGAAUAAUUUUUAUAAAGAGUGGAAAGCAUGUUAAUCGCACAUGAUUAAGGCAGUGAAUAUGUUAAUUACAAACGAUAUCGUGUCGAAUCCAUUAUACUUUCAAGUUAAAAUUCCGAGUUAAGUGAAAACAAGAUACAAAAGUUCGAAAGUGCAUCGUUUUUCAUAAAUCAUAAUGCAAUAUUCGUAGAAGAACGAGAAAGUUCCCUUCUUUUUCAUUACAUUGAUCGCAUCUUAUAAACUUCUGUUGUUCGCAACUAGUUCAUCGGUGUAAGCUGUAAUCGCAGGAUCGUGUGUGCUCAUUUGCCUUGAAGGAGUACGUGCGCUACCAAUUAAAUCAGGCUAAACUGAAGUCGGUUCUAAGAUAAUAUCAAAAUGACUUCUCUGCGCAUUAACCAGCUCAAUGGACGCGAUGAAUGAAGCAUAAAUCAAAGUGAAACGAAGAGAAAUAGAUUAUCGGAAGUCGAAGAGUGAGUAUUGACUUCUGGGGAGACCAGGAAGUUUAUUCAUGGAAGAACAAGAAGCUUCUUCUUCGUUUAUGUUUAUCCUUCAGUUCCACCAAAUAUUUCAUAGUAAAUAAUUCAACGUAACUCGCACAACAUGCAAUCUCGAUCAUAUUUACGAUCACGCGAGCGAAUCGAAACGUAGAAAUUAUCGUGUUCGUGGUAUCGUAUUGAAAGUCCAAAGAAAAGAGGAGAGCUCCUAUUUCCAAGAGACAGUUCGUCGGUUAAUCGAGCGUGUGCUCGAAUUCAACUCGACAUGACAUAACGAUUCGCCGCCAAUUGAUUAAACUUAACGACGAUUAAGAGAAGGCAAAAUGUUGACAUAAAUUUCUAUUAAAGGGUCAUGGGACCGUGUGUAACUGCCGUCGCCAAGAAGCAUCCCUCUUAGAUUAUAUUCACUUUAAGG
rnacentral:lncRNA from 1 species